GAGCAGCAGCCAAGUCCUCCACCACUCUGCCCAAAGCUCUGCAUGGCUCUCGGGCCACCAAGGACCCUGUGCCCUGGCAGUCUGGACCCAGGGGACUGAGCCUUCCGGUGGUUGCUGCUGCCUCCAAGUAUCAAAGAAUCGCCGACACAGACUCGCUGGCUGUUCCUUUUUCCUAUGCAUAUACUUCUUUGUGGAUCUGGUCUAAAGAGGUAUAGCGCAUGGGAAAAUGGAGCAGUGAGAUCUUCCCCUCCAGAAGGAUGCCCUUAGACCUGCUUCCUGACCAGGCGACUUCUGCUUCCCUCCCACUGGACCCCGGGGCUGGGCGCUUUCCUGUCCCGCUCCUGGGCACUGUAAGAGAAGAAGAGCCGCACGCCUUUCCUGUGUCUUCGAGGGAACAGUGCUGGCCCUACCCAAGCAGAUCUUAGGGACCAGUCAGGCAUUAAAAUGGAGGACUUGCACUGGGUGGGGGAACUCUGGGGUAGACCCUACUGAUCCAAGGUCCUACAGAAAGUGUUAGAACAGGAGCUGAGGCAGAUCUGUCUGAAUUUGUGCUUAGGCAAUCCUAGGUUCUGGGGACCUUGGAUGGGCUCAGGACUUGAUCUAUGAAAUUUUCUUUACAGGUGUGAAAUCAGUAUGUGAACACAUUUUCACAUUAGUGGGUGAUCGUGGGUCUGAUGUUGGAGGAGGUAAAAGGGUCAAUUGUGGAUUCACUGGGCUCUGGGUCCGGUCUGUGUCAUUUCCUGUCACCAUUAUCACAUUUUUACAAUGAUGGAUAUGGUUGAUUUUUUUUGAAGUUCAGGCUGAGGCUGGGUGCCAAUCAAUCAGUGGCUGAAUGCUUCCCAUUGAUGAUGGGUAAGGAGAUCUUGGGUUCAAUUUCCAGAACUGAGGGAAAAUACAAAUUUGGAAAUCUGACAAAAAUAAAACUUUUGGACCAAGCUGC